UGAAGAGGCAGCUUUGCUUAUUAUGAGCGAGAGGGAGGAAGUUUCUGGCGGCUGGGAUUAUGCGCACAGUUUCCUUGCCCAGAAGCUUUGCCUUUACCCCUCCCACUCUUAUACCAGCGCUUCCAUAAACUACAUUUAAGGCUGAAAAACUCAUGUCUCCAGGUAGCCAGACGGCAUUCUAAGCCCAGCUCUUUUAGUUUUGUUUUUUCUUUUGUUUUAUAUCUGGAUAACUCUUUUGGUUGCUUUUGCGUCGUGCUGAAGGGGAUUAGUGGACCUGAUUGGAGUGUAGCACACUGAAAGUGCACAGCUGCACAAUGCAGAAGCCGGCUCACAGGCUGACAGGCAAUUAAAGCAGCUCUCUUGGGGGGCCUCAGUUUGGCAGCUCCAAGUAACUGCUUGGUACAUUAGGAAGCUCUCCCGAAACUUAAAAUGGAAUGGAUCAGGAAAAAAGAACAUUUUACACUUUGGGCAUACAACUGUUGCUCUGUAUGGUGAAUCAGCUGGAUGUUAACCUUGCUCUGAAAGUCACAGGAGUCAAAGGAGCAUUGACAAGUAAGAAUAAAAAAAAACAGUAUGAAACACAGAUGGCCCAACAAUACCAAGGAAACUCAGGAAUAAAGUAAAGGGCUUGGAAAGCUGCAUAUAAAAAAUGCAUCACAAAGUAAGUGGAUAUUAAUUUAUAUUUCAAGAUUUUACAUUUCCAGAAAGUUAGGCCACAGCAGUUCAUAA
rnacentral:lncRNA from 1 species